rnacentral:sRNA from 1 species
AUUUUACUCACCAUCUACAUUUAUUCAUAUCAUAAUUUGUGAGUAAAAAACGAUUUCCCUGGUGUUGGCGCAAUAUUCGCGCACCCCAACUUCGGU